CAGUGUCCUCUCCACAGUCACUGAGCACACAGGUCCUCACCAUGGGAUGGAGCUGGAUCAUCCUCUUCCUGGUGACAGUAGCUACUGGUGUCCACUCCCAGGUCCAGCUGGAGCAGUCUGGGGCUGAGCUGGUGAAGCCUGGGUCCUCAGUGAAGCUGUCCUGCAAGACUUCAGGAUACACCUUCACUAGUUACUAUAUGCACUGGGUGAAGCAGAAGCCUGGACAGGGCCUGGAAUGGAUUGGGUAUAUUUAUCCUGGAAAUGGUGAUACUGCAUACAAUCAGAAGUUCCAGGGCAAGGCCACACUGACUGCAGACAAAUCCUCCAGCACAGCCUACAUGGAGCUCAGGAGCCUGACAUCUGAGGACUCUGCAGUCUAUUACUGUGCAAGACACACAGUGUUGCAACCACAUCCUGAGUGUGUCAGAAACCCUGGAGGAGCAGGAAGCUGCUCUGGGACUGAGAUAACAGAGAAGAUCAGCCUGGGUACUUACUCAGAAAUAUUAAAUCUGAGUGUCUCUUUGACUGUCUCAUCCUCAUAG